rnacentral:rRNA from 1 species
AUUGAACGCUGGCGGCAGGCCUAACACAUGCAAGUCGAGCGGAUGAAGGGAGCUUGCUCCUGGAUUCAGCGGCGGACGGGUGAGUAAUGCCUAGGAAUCUGCCUGGUAGUGGGGGAUAACGUCCGGAAACGGGCGCUAAUACCGCAUACGUCCUGAGGGAGAAAGUGGGGGAUCUUCGGACCUCACGCUAUCAGAUGGGCCUAGGUCGGAUUAGCUAGUUGGUGGGGUAAAGGCCUACCAAGGCGACGAUCCGUAACUGGUCUGAGAGGGUGAUCAGUCACACUGGAACUGAGACACGGUCCAGACUCCUACGGGAGGCAGCAGUGGGGAAUAUUGGACAAUGGGCGAAAGCCUGAUCCAGCCAUGCCGCGUGUGUGAAGAAGGUCUUCGGAUUGUAAAGCACUUUAAGUUGGGAGGAAGGGCAGUAAGUUAAUACCUUGCUGUUUUGACGUUACCAACAGAAUAAGCACCGGCUAACUUCGUG